UUGAACGCUGGCGGCAUGCUUUACACAUGCAAGUCGAACGGUAACAGGGAGCUUGCUCCGCUGACGAGUGGCGAACGGGUGAGUAAUGCAUCGGAACGUACCCAGUCGUGGGGGAUAACGUAGCGAAAGUUACGCUAAUACCGCAUACGUCCUGAGGGAGAAAGCGGGGGACCGUAAGGCCUCGCGCGAUUGGAGCGGCCGAUGUCGGAUUAGCUAGUUGGUGGGGUAAAGGCUCACCAAGGCGACGAUCUGUAGCUGGUCUGAGAGGACGACCAGCCACACUGGAACUGAGACACGGUCCAGACUCCUACGGGAGGCAGCAGUGGGGAAUUUUGGACAAUGGGCGCAAGCCUGAUCCAGCAAUGCCGCGUGCAGGAUGAAGGCCUUCGGGUUGUAAACUGCUUUUGUACGGAACGAAAAGACUCCUUCUAAUAAAGGGGGUUCAUGACGGUACCGUAAGAAUAAGCACCGGCUAACUACGU
rnacentral:rRNA from 1 species